CUACGGGUGGCUGCAGUGGGGAAUAUUGCACAAUGGGCGCAAGCCUGAUGCAGCCAUGCCGCGUGUAUGAAGAAGGCCUUCGGGUUGUAAAGUACUUUCAGCGGGGAGGAAGGGAGUAAAGUUAAUACCUUUGCUCAUUGAUGUUACCCGCAGAAGAAGCACCGGCUAACUCCGUGCCAGCAGCCGCGGUAAUACGGAGGGUGCAAGCGUUAAUCGGAAUUACUGGGCGUAAAGCGCACGCAGGCGGUUUGUUAAGUCAGAUGUGAAAUCCCCGGGCUCAACCUGGGAACUGCAUCUGAUACUGGCAAGCUUGGGUCUCGUAGAGGGGGGUAGAAUUCCAGGUGUAGCGGUGAAAUGCGUAGAGAUCUGGAGGAAUACCGGUGGCGAAGGCGGCCCCCUGGACGAAGACUGACGCUCAGGUGCGAAAGCGUGGGGAGCAAACAGGAUUAGAUACCCUUGUAGUC
rnacentral:rRNA from 1 species